GUGCCAAUCCUGUUGGUGCAAAAAACCACCUGCGUCGGAGAAGCUGGAGUCGAGGGAGUCACGGUCGCCAUCGGGACCUACAAAGGAAGUCUAAAUCGGAGUUGGGGUUGCUCUGGCAAGACCCUCCGAUGCUCAAGUCAGUUCUCUGCCUCAACAAGAAUGGAGUGCUCGAACGAAAAUUUUAGCAGAGUUUUUGGGAUAGAAAUUAGAGCUUAGAGAAUAAUGUAUCUGGGACCCUCCCUUUUUAUAGGCGG
rnacentral:lncRNA from 1 species